GACAGAGGGGGCAAGCGUUGCUCGGAAUCACUGGGCGUAAAGGGCGCGUAGGCGGGAUGGCAAGUCAGUCGUGAAAUCUCUCGGCUCAACCGAGAAACGUCGGCUGAUACUGCCGUUCUUGAGGGAUGCAGAGGAGACUGGAAUUCCCGGUGUAGCGGUGAAAUGUGUAGAGAUCGGGAGGAACACCGGUGGCGAAGGCGGGUCUCUGGGCCGAUC
rnacentral:rRNA from 1 species